GGGUGUGAGGAUGAUCUGGCUGAGACAUCUGUCACCCCAUUGAUCAUCGGGGUCGAUUCCAAUCGUGUGGCUGGCUGGGUGGUGCUCCCUUCCUCCCUCACUGCUCCACGGGCUGCUCGGUAGAAGAGCACGAUUUUCCCAGAAGAGAGGAGGACAGGUCUUUGGUCAAGGGUAUAUGAGAAGCUGCACUCUUUUGCUAGAAUCUCCAAACACAUUCUCAAGAAUAGUGACCAUGGCAUUGCUCUGGCCAUUUAUCCUCAUUCAGUACAGAUGCCAAAAGACCUUAAAAAUAUUUCACCCUUGUCUUUCCUCUCCUUG
rnacentral:snRNA from 1 species